rnacentral:rRNA from 1 species
AGCAGCAGCCACGGUAAUACGUAGGUCCCGAGCGUUGUCCGGAUUUAUUGGGCGUAAAGCGAGCGCAGGCGGUUAGAUAAGUCUGAAGUUAAAGGCUGUGGCUUAACCAUAGUACGCUUUGGAAACUGUUUAACUUGAGUGCAAGAGGGGAGAGUGGAAUUCCAUGUGUAGCGGUGAAAUGCGUAGAUAUAUGGAGGAACACCGGUGGCGAAAGCGGCUCUCUGGCUUGUAACUGACGCUGAGGCUCGAAAGCGUGGGGCGCAAACAGGAUUAGAUACCCCUGUAGUCCCUGUCUCUUAUACA